rnacentral:rRNA from 1 species
GACGUAGGGCGCGAGCGUUGUCCGGAUUUAUUGGGCGUCAAGGGCGCGUAGGCGGCCACGACAAGUCACUUGUGAAAUCUCCGGGCUUAACCCGGAACGGUCAAGUGAUACUGUCGGGCUAGAGUGCAGAAGGGGCAACUGGAAUUCUCGGUGUAGCGGUGAAAUGCGUAGAUAUCGAGAGGAACACCUGCGGCGAAGGCGGGUUGCUGGGCUGACACUGACGCUGAGGCGCGAAAGCCAGGGGAGCGAACGGG